UGGCUCAGAUGGUAAAGCAUCUGCCUACAAUGCAGAAGACCCAGGUUCAAUCCCUGG
rnacentral:tRNA from 1 species